rnacentral:rRNA from 1 species
GAUGAACGCUGGCGGCGUGCUUAACACAUGCAAGUCGAACGAAGCAUCCAAGAUUGAGACUUCGGUGGAUAGAUUGGAUGACUGAGUGGCGGACGGGUGAGUAACGCGUGGGCAACCUGCCUCGUACAGGGGGAUAACGCAUCGAAAGAUGUGCUAAUACCGCGUAAGACCACAGCAUCGCAUGGUGCAGGGGUCAAAGGAGCAAUCCGGUGGAAGAUGGGCUCGCGUCCGAUUAGCUAGUUGGUGAGAUAACAGCCCACCAAGGCGACGAUCGGUAGCCGACCUGAGAGGGUGAUCGGCCACAUUGGAACUGAGAGACGGUCCAG